CUUUCAACAACGGAUCUCUUGGUUCCAGCAUCGAUGAAGAACGCAGCGAAAUGCGAUAAGUAAUGUGAAUUGCAGAAUUCAGUGAAUCAUCGAAUCUUUGAACGCACAUUGCGCCCUUCGGUAUUCCGGGGGG
rnacentral:rRNA from 2 species